GUCCCCGUGCCCUAGCGCGCGGGGGCUUACGGGGUGGGCGCGGGCUCACUUCUCCCCAAGCUGGCUAUGCGGGUUUGCCAUUUGUACCUGGGUCAUCUCGUGUUCCUGCCGGGCUCCCGGGGGUGCCUAGUUGGCUGGGUACGUUGGCGUUAGACAACUUUGUCUUGCUCAUCACACCUGCGAAAGGUGCUUUGCCUGCGUCUGCAUCCAUCGCGAGCUCCUCGGAGGGCACCGGUAGCUGCCCAUGGUGCUGUACCCUCCACCUUGACGGUGACUUGGCGCCUGGGGGAAGCCUGACCCGCGCGCGCUGUGGGCACGUCCGUUUGCAGUGCUGGCGCUUUCAGUUUCUGCACUCGUGUGACUUCUCGUCUGCUCCAGCUAGGCUGUGUGUUCUGGAAAGAAUAUCACUACUGUGUAAUGCCAACACAAGAGGCAACCCAGUGCCCGUGGACAGCAGAGCGGAUGAAUUAACACCGACCACCACGUUGAAGAUGAGCACAUCGUCUGGAAAAAUGGCUCGGAUAUUAAAGGCGCUUGCUUGCAAACAAAGCCGGGCCUUCCAUAUAGGCAAUGCUCUUUGAGCUACAUCCUCAGAGGAUUGGGGAGAUGUCUCUGUCGUUAAAGCACUGGGGACCACAUUCUGGGCCUUGUGUAUGGCAGAUUACUGUAUCAGCACUGAUGGGUCAAAACACACACAUGGGACUGAAGAGAUGGCUUAGCAGUUAAGGCACUUGCCUGUAAAGCCUAAGAACUCAAGUUUGAUUCCCCAGAACCCAUGUAAGUGAGACACACAGAAUA